UACGAAGGGGGCUAGCGUUGUUCGGAAUUACUGGGCGUAAAGCGUGCGCAGGCGUUUGCUAAGACAGGUGUGAAAUCCCCGGGCUCAACCUGGGAACUGCAUUUGUGACUGCAUCGCUGGAGUGCGGCAGAGGGGGAUGGAAUUCCGCGUGUAGCAGUGAAAUGCGUAGAUAUGCGGAGGAACACCGAUGGCGAAGGCAAUCCCCUGGGCCUGCACUGACGCUCAUGCACGAAAGCGUGGGGAGCAAACAGG
rnacentral:rRNA from 1 species